rnacentral:rRNA from 1 species
CAUUAGCGUAUAUUAAUGCUGUUGCAGUUAAAAAGCUCGUAGUUGAAUUUUGGAGUUUGUUAGAAUUUGGUCCGCCUCGAAGGCGAGUACUAAUUCUAGCGCUCUAUAUGUGGUAACAAUGUACACUGGUGCUUAACUGUGCGAGUGUUCUUGGAAGCAGUGAUGCGACCAAGAGGUGAGGGAUGCGAGAUGGUUGCGUGGGGAGACCUGCGGGGCUUUUGUCGCAUCUUUUGCAACAUUUUACCUAUUUUACUUUGAAAAAAUUAGAGUGUUCAAAGCAGCCCUUAGGGGCAUUGAAUAGUAAAGCAUGGGAUAAUAGAAGAGGACAGCCGUCUUAUUUUGUUGGUUUUUUGAGACGAUUGUAAUGAUUAAAGGGGAUUGUUGGGGUGGUUUGUAUUGAGGUGUCAGCGGUGAAAUGCUAAGAUUGCCUUAAGACAAACUUCUGCGAAAGCAUUCCACUAGGAAGUUUUCAUCAA